rnacentral:rRNA from 1 species
CCUACGGGUGGCAGCAGUGAGGAAUAUUGGUCAAUGGGCUCGAGCCUGAACCAGCCAAGUCGCGUGAGGGAAGACGGCCCUACGGGUUGUAAACCUCUUUUGCCGGGGAGCAACGGGCGCCACGUGUGGCGCCACUGCGAGUACCCGGAGAAAAAGCAUCGGCUAACUCCGUGCCAGCAGCCGCGGUAAUACGGGGGAUGUGAGCGUUAUCCGGAUUUAUUGGGUUUAAAGGGUGCGUAGGCGGAGCGUUAAGUCAGUGGUAAAAUUGAGGGGCUCCACCCCUUCCCGCCAUUGAAACUGGCGCUCUUGAGUGGAAGAGAAGUAUGCGGAAUGCGGGGUGUAGCGGUGAAAUGCAUAGAUAUCACGCAGAACCCCGAUGGCGAAGGCAGCAUGCCGGCUUCCUACUGACGCUGAAGCACGAAAGCGUGGGGAUCGAACAGGAUUAGAUACCCGAGUAGUC